rnacentral:rRNA from 1 species
CCUACGGGAGGCAGCAGUGAGGAAUAUUGGUCAAUGGACGGAAGCCUGAACCAGCCAUGUCGCGUGCAGGAAGACGGCACUAUGAGUUGUAAACUGCUUUUGUACAAGGGUAAACCUGAAUACGUGUAUUCAGAUGAAAGUACCCGACGAAUAAGCAUCGGCUAACUCCGUGCCAGCAGCCGCGGUAAUACGGAGGAUCCAAGCGUUAUCCGGUUUUAUUGGGUUUAAAGGGUGCGUAGGCGGAUGAUUAAGUCAGCGGUAAAAUGUCGGGGCUAAACCCGGGCAUGCCUUUUAUACUGGUUGUCUAGAGAUUGAGUGCAGUAUGCGGAAUGUGUGGUGUAGCGGUGAAAUGCUUAGAGAUCACGAAGAACUCCGAUUGCGAAGGCAGCUUACC